rfam:Sorghum bicolor cultivar BTx623 chromosome 8, whole genome shotgun sequence.
AUUCCGUGAUGAGGGCAUUCCUGAAUGUACUCCUGGAGACGUUCCCAUGCUUCGGGAAUGGUCUCUUCUGCCUUUUGACAGAAGCUAGAGAUUCUUGCCCGCAGAGC